UGUGUGUGUAUGCAUGUGUGUGUGUGUGUAUGUAUAUAUAUAUAUAUAUACACACAUACACACACACACACACACACA